rnacentral:tRNA from 1 species
GGUGGCUCAGCGGCUAAGCACUUGGCUGCUAAUCAAAAGGUCGGUGGUUCGAACCCACCAGCCACUC